UGGUGGAGUGAUUUGUCUGGUUAAUUCCGAUAACGAACAAGACUCUGUCCUGCUGAAUAGCCCCGGCCUUUUUAUACAGCCGAGGACCCGUUGUUUGGUUUUGGGUUGUGGCUAGGUUUGCCUUGUCGCGGCUCUUGCCUUGCAAGGUCCCAGGCUGCGGGUCGUGAGUUCUUCUUAGAGGGACUGGCGAUUGUUAGUCGAACGAGAUAGAGCAAUAACA
rnacentral:rRNA from 1 species